rnacentral:lncRNA from 1 species
GUUCCCAGGUGCACAUGGGCCGUUUUGGGUGACCAGGUGCACGCCGGCCUUUGGGUGACCAGGUGCACAUGGGCCGUUUGGGUGACCAGGUGCACACGGGUCUUUUGGGUGACCAGGUGCACAUGGGCCGUUUGGGUGACCAGGUGCACACGGGUCUUUUGGGUGACCAGGUGCACAUGGGCCGUUUGGGUGACCAGGUGCACACGGGUCUUUUGGGUGACCAGGUGCACAUGGGCCGUUUGGGUGACCAGGUGCACGCCGGCCUUUGGGUGACCAGGUGCACAUGGGCCGUUUGGGUUCCCAGGUGCACAUGGGCCGUUUUGGGUGACCAGGUGCACGCCGGCCUUUGGGUGACCAGGUGCACACGGUCCUUUUGGGUGACCAGGUGCACAUGGUCCUUUGGGUGA